AACGAACGCUGGCGGCAUGCCUAACACAUGCAAGUCGAACGAGACCUUCGGGUCUAUUGGCGCACGGGUGCGUAACGCGUGGGAACCUGCCCUUAGGUUCGGAAUAACUCCCCGAAAGGGGUGCUAAUACCGGAUAAUGUCUUCGGACCAAAGAUUUAUCGCCUUUGGAUGGGCCCGCGUUGGAUUAGCUAGUUGGUAGGGUAAAAGCCUACCAAGGCGACGAUCCAUAGCUGGUCUGAGAGGAUGAUCAGCCACACUGGGACUGAGACACGGCCCAGACUCCUACGGGAGGCAGCAGUGGGGAAUAUUGGACGAUGGGGGAAAGCCUGAUCCAGCAAUGCCGGGUGAGUGAUGAAGGGCUUAGGGUUGUAAAGCUCUUUUACCCGGGAUGAUAAUGACAGUACCGGGAGAAUAAGCACCGGCUAACUCCGUG
rnacentral:rRNA from 1 species